rnacentral:rRNA from 1 species
UACGUAGGGUGCGAGCGUUAAUCGGAAUUACUGGGCGUAAAGGGUGCGCAGGCGGUUAUAUAAGACAGAUGUGAAAUCCCCGGGCUCAACCUGGGGGCUGCGUUUGAUACGUAUGGGCUUGAGUUCGGAAGAGGGUCGUGGAAUUCCCAGUGUAGAGGUGAAAUUCGUAGAUAUUGGGAAGAACACCGGUGGCGAAGGCGGCGACCUGGUCCGAUACUGACGCUGAGGCGCGAAAGCGUGGGGAGCAAACAGG